rnacentral:tRNA from 1 species
UUAAAAAAAAGCUAAAAUUAAGCUUUUGGGGUCAUACCCCAAAAAUAUAGGGGAUCCUUUUUUUUAAG